rnacentral:rRNA from 1 species
AAGCGGUGUGAGCCGUUGAGCUAACAGAUACUAAUUGCCCGAGAGGCUUAACUAUACAACCUCAAGCGUU